CACUGCUGUUCUUGCUGCAUGCUGGGAUCUGAUCCGUGCACCGUGCUGCAAUCCGUGCUGCAUGUCACGAUCCGAUCCAUGCACCGUGCUGCAGCCUGUGCUGCAAUCCAUGCGCCAUGCAGUGACCCAAUCCACGCACUGUGCCGCAAUCCAUGCAACACGCGGUGAUUGGAUCCAUGCAACUGUGCUGCAAUCCAUGCAACGCGCUGUGAUCCGAUGCAUGCAGCUGUGCUGCAAUCCAUGCAGCUGUGCUCUGUUUCGUGCAAUGUUCUGUGCUCUGAUCCAUGCAUUGUGCUGCAAUCUGUGCAGCCAUGCUGUAUUCCAUGCAGUCUGUGCUGCAAUCCAUGCAGCAGUGCUGUGUUCCAUGCAGCCGUGCUGUGAUUCAGUCCAUGCGGUCUGUGCUGCAAUCCAUGCAGCUGAGCUGUGUUCCAUGCAACGUUCUGUGCUCUGACCCAUGCAGUCUGUGCUGCAAUCCAUGCAGGUGUGCUGUGCUCCAUGCGGGUGUGCUCUGAUCGGCGCUGCAGUCCAUGCAGCCGUGUUGUGCUCCAUGCAGAUGUGCUCUGUUUGAUGCUGCAGCCCAUGCAGCAGUGCUGUGCUCCAUGCAGCAGUGCAGCAGUCCAUGCAGCCAUGCUGUGAUUCAGUCCAUGCAGUCUGUGCUGCAGUCCAUGCAGCCGUGCUGUGUUCCAUGCAACGUUCUGAGGUCUGAUCCAUGCAUUGUGCUGCAAUCCAUGCAGCCAUGCUGUGUUCCAUGCAAUGUGCUGUGCUCUGAUCCAUGCAGCAGUGCAGCAGUCCAUGCAGCCAUGCUCUGAUCCGUCCCAUGCAUUGUGCUGCAACCCAUGCAGCCGUGCUGUGCUCCAUGCAGGUGUGCUCUGAUUGGUGCUGCUGUUCAUGCAGCCGUUCUCUGAACCGUCCCAUGCAUUGUGCUGCAACCCAUGCAGCCGUGCUGUGCUCCACGCAGGUGUGCUCUGAUCAGCGCUGCAGCCCAUGCAGCCGUGCUCUGAUCCGUUCCAUGCAUUGUGCUGCAGUCCAUGCAGCUGUGCUGUGUUCCAUGCAAUGUACUGUGAUCCGAUCCAUGCAGCAGUGCAGUGCUCCAUGCAGCCGUGCUGCAGUCCAUGCAGCUGUGCUCUGAUCCGUUCCAUGCAGUCUGUGCUGUAAUCCAUGCAGCCAUGCUGUGCUCCAUGCAGGUGUGCUCUGAUUGGUGCUGCAAUUCAUGCAGCCGUGCUGUGUUCCAUGCAGUGUGCUGUGCUCUGAUCCAUGCAGCUGUGCUGCAACCCAUGCAGCCGUGCUGUGUUCCAUGCAGUGUGCUGUGCUCUGAUCCAUGCAGCUGUGCUGCAAUCCAUGCAGCUGUGCUCUGAUCUGUUCCAUGCAGUCUGUGCUGCAAUCCAUGCAGCCGUGCUAUGCUCCAUGCAAUGUGCUCUGAUUGGUGCUGCAAUCCAUGCAGCCGUGCUCUGAUCCGUUCCAUGCACUGUGCUGCAACCCAUGCAGCCGUGCUGCGGCCCAUGCAACACGUUGUGAUGCAUGCAGCCACGCUGCAAAUCCAUGCAACGCACUGCAAUCUGUGCUGCAGCCCGUGCAGCUGAGCUGUGAUCUCUGCAGCGCAUUGCAAUGCAUGCAGCCAUGCUGCAAUCGGUGCUGCAGCCCAUGCAGCCAUGCUGCAGCCCAUGCAACAUGUUGUGAUGCAUGCAGCCAUGCUGCAAUCCAUGCAACAUGCCACAAUCUGUGCUGCAGCCUGUGCAACACGUUGUGAUGCAUGGAGCGCGUUGUGAUGCAUGCAACACGUGGCAACCUAUGCUGCAGCCCAUGCAACACGUUGUGAUGCAUGCAGCCACGCUGCAAUCCAUGCAACGCGCUGCAAACCUGUGCUGCAGCCCAUGCAAUGCGCUGCAUGCGGUGCUGCGUGCUGCAACUGCACACGGCCCACAUGUGUGGGGUGGGCACUUAUGGGGCUGCGUGAGGCAGCACUGAACAGUGGUUUAUGGCAUUGGCACUUAUGGGGCUGUGCUAUGGGGGGCACUUAUGGGGCUGUGCUGUGGGGCAGUACUUAUGGGGCUGAGCUGUGGGGGGGUACUUAUGGGGCUGUUUUAUGGGGCAGUACUUAUGGGGCUGUGCUGUGGGGCAGUACUUAUGGGGCUGUGCUGUGGGGUACUUAUGGGGCUGUGAUAUGGGGCACUGAUGGGGUUGUGUGGGGCAGGCACUUAUGGGGCUGUGCUGUGGGGGGCACUUAUGGGGCUGUGCUGUGGGGCAGUACUUAUGGGGCUGAGCUAUGGGGGGGUACUUAUGGGGCUGUUCUAUGGGGCAGUACUUAUGGGGCUGUGCUGUGGGGCAGCACUUGUGGGGCUGUGCUGUGGGGGG
ensembl:lncRNA